rnacentral:rRNA from 1 species
CACAUAGUUAGCCGGGGCUUCUUACUCAGGUACCGUCAUCUUCUUCCCUGCUGAUAGAGCUUUACAUACCGAAAUACUUCUUCACUCACGCGGCGUUGCUGCAUCAGGGUUUCCCCCAUUGUGCAAUAUUCCCCACUGCUGCCUCCCGUAGGAGUUUGGGCCGUGUCUCAGUCCCAAUGUGGCCGGUCACCCUCUCAGGUCGGCUACUGAUCGUCGCCUUGGGUCGGGCCCGUUACCCCUCCAACUAGCUAAUCAGACGCGGGUCCAUCUCAUACCACCGGAGUUUUUCACACAAGAACAUGCAUCCUCGUGCGCUUAUGCGGUAUUAGCAGUCAUUUCUAACUGUUACUCCCCCUGUAUGAGGCUACGGUUACCCACGUCGUUACCUUCCACCCGUUCCGCCUACCUCACGUCAAUCUAACGCUUCCACUACCCGUAAAACCUUCCGACUAAAUCCGUCUUCGUUCCGUACUUGCAUGUGUUAAGCACGCCGCCGUACGCGUUCUACUCCGUGACG